rnacentral:tRNA from 1 species
GCGUGGGUGGCUCAGUGGUUAGAACCUAGGGCUUGGGAUCGAAAGGUCCCGAGUUCGAACUUCGCGGGAGGCA